UGCAGAGGAUGUUUUUCUCACGAUGGUCUUCCAAGCCUGCAGGGCUCUGACGAAAGUGCCUUUUGGCAUUACUGAUGCAGUCCA
rnacentral:snoRNA from 1 species